rnacentral:lncRNA from 10 species
CUGGCUUUGUCACUCCAACUUAGGUGACCACUAAACCAUCUGUUUCCAUUUUCUCUUUCACUUAUUUAAUAUACAUUUAGUGGUUAGCAUAAACUGACACUGUAUUAAAUAAGUAAAAAAUGAAAUAAAUGGUUGUUGUCUAGAGAAAUGCAGCAUUUAGUGUGAAAGGCAGACAUCCAAACCUCACAUGAUAUGGUCAAUAAAAGCCUUUCUCAAAUUUUUAUGUGUAUAGGAACCACCUGAGGAUCUCCUUAAAAUGCAGAUUGUAGUUCACUAGGUCUGGAGUGGGACCUGGGAUUCCUCAUUUCACACAAGCUUCCAGGCUAUGGAUACUGCUGAUCAGUGAAUCACAGUUUGAGAAGUGAUUGUAAUAAAAUAUAAACAGAGAUAUGCUAUCGGAGCACAGAAGAAAAGAAACUAACUGAACUAUGUAGCAUCCAAAGAGGAAAUGAGACGGAGUUGAAGGAUGAGUAACAAAAGAUGCAAAGGAAGGCAUUUAAAUGUCUUUGAGUAGAGGCACUAUUUUAUAUAGAACACAGAGGUAUGAAUUGCCAUGGUGUGAGUGUAGAAAAAUAAUCCCACACUGGGGAGUCAUGUACAGGGAGACCAGUUUCCAGGAAGAGCAACAGUUCACUUAGGAGGUAAUGAAGGCCUGAAUUACUUUAAUGUGUUCAUGUGAUUAUUCAUAGCUGAGUUUUCUAAAAGGUGUAGUGGAGAGG